AUGACUGGCUGGGUAGAUGAGGGGAGAGCAGUGGAUGGUGUCUCCCUUGACUUCAGCAAGGCUUUUGACGCUGUCUCCCAUAACAUCCUCAUAGACAAGCUCAGGAAGUGUGGGCUAGAUGAGUGGACAGUGAGGUGGAUUAAGAGUUGGCUAAAUGGCAGAGCUCAGAGGGUUGUGAUCAGCGGCGCAGAGUCUAGUUGGAGGCCUGUAGCUAGCGGUGUCCCCCAGGGGUCAGUACUGGGUCCAGUCUUGUUCAAUUUCUUCAUAAUGACCUGGAUGAAGGGACAGAGUGCACCCUCAGCAAGUUUGCUGAUGAUACCAAACUGGGGUGGUGAUACCCCAGAAGGCUGUGCUGCCAUUCAGAGAGAACGGGACAGGCUGAAGAGGUGGGCAGAGAGGAACCUCAUGAAGUUCAACAAAGGCAAGUGCAGGGUCCUGCACCUGGGGAGGAAUAACCCCAUGCACCAGGACAGGCUGGGGGUUGACCUGCUGGAAAGCAGCUCUGCCGAGAAGGACCUGGGAGUGCUGGUGGACACCAAGCUAACCAUGAGGCAGCAAUGUGCCCUUGUGGCCAAGAAGGCCAAUGGUAUCCUGGGGUGCAUUAGGAAGAGUGUUGCCAGCAGGUCAAGGGAGGUGAUCCUCCCCCUCUACUCAGCCCUGGUGAGGCCACAUCUGGAGUACUGCGUCCAGUUCUUGGCUCCCCAAUACAAGAGAGACAUGGAGCUACUGGAACGAGUUCAGCGAAGAGCUAUGAAGAUGAUUAGGGGACUGGAGCAUCUCUCUUAUGAGGAAAGGCUGAGAGAGCUGGGCCUGUUCAGCCUAGAGAAGAGAAGACUGAGAGGGGAUCUUAUUAAUGUGUACAAGUAUCUGAAGGGAGGGUGUCRAGAGGAUGGGGCCAGACUCUUUUCAGUGGUGCCCAGUGACAGGAUGCGAGGCAACGGGCACAAACUGAAACACAGACCCUUCCAUCUGAACAUGAGGAAAAAUUUCUUUACUGUGAGGGUGACAGAGCACUGGAACAGGUUGCCCCGAGAGGUGGUGGAGUCUCCUUCUCUGGAGAUAUUCAAAACGCGCCUGGAUGCAAUCCUGUGCAAUGUGCUCUAG
rnacentral:lncRNA from 1 species